rnacentral:rRNA from 1 species
GAUGAACGCUGGCGGCGUGCCUAAUACAUGCAAGUCGAGCGAACAGACGAGGAGCUUGCUCCUCUGACGUUAGCGGCGGACGGGUGAGUAACACGUGGAUAACCUACCUAUAAGACUGGGAUAACUUCGGGAAACCGGAGCUAAUACCGGAUAAUAUAUUGAACCGCAUGGUUCAAUAGUGAAAGACGGUUUUGCUGUCACUUAUAGAUGGAUCCGCGCCGCAUUAGCUAGUUGGUAAGGUAACGGCUUACCAAGGCAACGAUGCGUAGCCGACCUGAGAGGGUGAUCGGCCACACUGGAACUGAGACACGGUCCAGACUCCUACGGGAGGCAGCAGUAGGGAAUCUUCCGCAAUGGGCGAAAGCCUGACGGAGCAACGCCGCGUGAGUGAUGAGGGUCUUCGGAUCGUAAAACUCUGUUAUUAGGGAAGAACAAAUGUGUAAGUAACUAUGCACGUCUUGACGGUACCGAAUCAGAAAGCCACGGCUAACUACGU